rnacentral:lncRNA from 1 species
AUUAGGUCGCCGCGCGCACAGACCGUGAGCUUGUUGUUCAGUCGAACAGCGCGUGGAAUUACAGAUUUUUGAAUAAAACGGAAAACACAGCCGUACCUGACGCGUCCUAAAGACGUUAACGCAAACGUAGAGUAUUUUUUCCUCGUCUUUUGAUGUUUAUCUCAACCAUGGCUGCGUUAAUGAUUAGAUUACAUGCAGCAAUGACUCCGCGAAAGUUUUGACUUUUAUAACAGCAGUUAUUGUUGGCUCUCCCAACGGAUCCUUCAAGACUCGAUCAAGGAAUCAAGACUCGAUUACGGAAUCUCAUGUAAACUUUAUAAAUGAAGAUUAAAGGCACGCGCUUCUUCUCUUUGCCAAGCGUCGCACAUGGGGUGACACCGAGGAGCUUCCUGGGCCACUGAGACGUGACUUCGGGCUGGGCGUCUCAUUUCCUGUGCCCCUGCUGGC